AAAGAGUGCCUAGAAUGAAUGUGAGGUGAAGAAAAGGAUGGGUGGUUUGGGAGAGAAUGCUUUGAAACUCCCAGCUGAGUUAAGGAGGAGUCAGGUGAAAUAAAGAAGAACCCUGCAAAUAGGCAUGUAAUUAAUGUGAAAUUGGGGUUAUUCUGCCAUUGAAAAACAAUGAUGAGGGGCAUGAAACAAUCAUUAUUGCAAAGCAUGCGCACAUGUCCUUGGAGUUUCCAAUAUGCGACUGACUUUUGAGCACUGUUGACAGGAGACUGCAUAUCUUUUCAGAACAAUUUAAUUGGUGGCUUUGCUUUAUUUAGUAUCCUUUUGGAUAUGUAACCACCUGUUUCACAGUUGAAAGAUUUUAAGCCAACCAAGUUCUUCACACACAAGUCAAAAACCAAACCCCUUUAUUCUUCUUCGAUUUCAUUCUCAAGUACAUCUCCUCCGAUUUGAAAAGGAUGGUUCAAUUCUGGAAACGGAAGUUUCCAUUUAGAUUCAAGACGCAACUUUUAUAGCUUCAUGAAUUGGGCCCCAGCUACACGGUUUCAUGACUGGUGGGUUUAUGUGUUCGUGUCUCAUUCUUCCAGAUCAAGAGCAAAUAAGAAUUUAGCUCCAAUGUCAAAGACUUGCACAGAAAAAGUAAAACACUCCGUCUUUGCAGUCAACAACACAAUCAAAUCUAUCUAAACCACAGCACUCACAAUCAAUGGAAAAUAUCAGAGUGGAAGCAAACCGGGAGUUUAUUAAAUUAUGGUAUCGUAGUUUUGUGUUUAUGAAUUAUAAUCCAGUUGAUUCAAUAUCUGUAUUGCCCCCUUAGGGAGUAGGUUCGUUACAUGAUACAAUUGGUUGGGUUUC